GACGAACGCUGGCGGCGUGCUUAACACAUGCAAGUCGAACGGAAAGGCCCUGCUUUUGUGGGGUGCUCGAGUGGCGAACGGGUGAGUAACACGUGAGUAACCUGCCCUUGACUUUGGGAUAACUUCAGGAAACUGGGGCUAAUACCGGAUAGGAGCUCCUGCUGCAUGGUGGGGGUUGGAAAGUUUCGGCGGUUGGGGAUGGACUCGCGGCUUAUCAGCUUGUUGGUGGGGUAGUGGCUUACCAAGGCUUUGACGGGUAGCCGGCCUGAGAGGGUGACCGGCCACAUUGGGACUGAGAUACGGCCCAGACUCCUACGGGAGGCAGAAGUGGGGAAUAUUGCAGAAUGGGCGGAAGCCUGAUGCAGCAACGCCGCGUGCGGGAUGACGGCCUUCGGGUUGUAAACCGCUUUCGCCUGUGACGAAGCGUGAGUGACGGUAAUGGGUAAAGAAGCACCGGCUAACUACGU
rnacentral:rRNA from 1 species